UGAACGCUGGCGGCGUGCCUCAUACAUGCACGUCGAGCGAACGGACGAGAAGCUUGCUUCUCUGAUGUUAGCGGCGGACGGGUGAGUAACACGUGGAUAACCUACCUAUAAGACUGGGAUAACUUCGGGAAACCGGAGCUAAUACCGGAUAAUAUUUUGAACCGCAUGGUUCAAAAGUGAAAGACGGUCUUGCUGUCACUUAUAGAUGGAUCCGCGCUGCAUUAGCUAGUUGGUAAGGUAACGGCUUACCAAGGCAACGAUGCAUAGCCGACCUGGGAGGGUGAUCGGCCACACUGGAACUGAGACACGGUCCAGACUCCUACGGGAGGCAGCAGUAGGGAAUCUUCCGCAAUGGGCGAAAGCCUGACGGAGCAACGCCGCGUGAGUGAUGAAGGUCUUCGGAUCGUAAAACUCUGUUAUUAGGGAAGAACAUAUGUGUAAGUAACUGUGCACAUCUUGACGGUACCUAAUCAGAAAGCCACGGCUAACUACGUG
rnacentral:rRNA from 1 species